rnacentral:rRNA from 1 species
GAGAGAGACAUGCGCGCAUAUCAAUAAGCGGAGGAAAAGAAACUAACAAGGAUUCCCCUAGUAACGGCGAGUGAAGCGGGAAGAGCUCAAAUUUGAAAUCUUAAAGGGUUUCCCUUUACGAAUUGUAGUUUAAAGAAGUGUUUUCUGUUGAGGUUUUGGUAAAAGUUCUUUGGAAUAGGACAUCAUAGAGGGUGAGAAUCCCGUAUUUGACCUUUACUUUCAACUUUGUGAUACACUUUCAAAGAGUCGGAUUGUUUGGGAAUGCAGUCCAAAAUGGGUGGUAAAUUUCAUCUAAAGCUAAAUAUUGGCGAGAGACCGAUAGCGAACAAGUACCGUGAGGGAAAGAUGAAAAGAACUUUGAAAAGAGAGUUAAACAGUACGUGAAAUUGUCAAAAGGGAAGCGUUUGACACCAGUGUUGUUUUUCUGAAAAUCAAUUAAAGAACUGUUUAUGCUAAGUUGUUUAGACUUUAUCAGCUAACUGUUUAGUUUUGAGCUUUUCUUUAAUGCACUUUUCAGUUAACAAGUCAACAUCAAUUUCUUUUGCUGUAAAAAAGCUUGAGGAAGGUGGCUUGAGAUUCGUCUUAAGUGUUUAUAGCCUCUUGCCUAUGCAGUCGGAGAGAUUGAGGUCUGCAGCGUAGAUCCUUCGGGGCUAAAUGCAUUUGUGCUAAGUUAUAGCAUUUUAUAGACAACUUGUUGACUAUGAUUUGUCUUGUAGCUUACUCGCUUAUGUUAUUUUACCUACGCUUAGGAUGUUGAUGUGAUACUGCGAGCA